rnacentral:rRNA from 1 species
AACGAACGCCAGCGGCGUGGAUUAGGCAUGCAAGUCGAACGUGAUCCGUAGCAAUACGGUGAAAGUGGCGGAAGGGUGAGUAAUGCAUAGAUAACCUACCUCCGAGCCUGGGAUAACUCUGGGAAACUGGAGCUAAUACUGGAUGGGGUAGCGGGGUCACCUGGCCCUGAAACUAAUGGCAGCCUCUGAACAUGCUGUCACUCGGAGAGGGGAUCUAUGCCUAUCAGCUAGUUGGUGAGGUAACGGCCACCAAGGCAUUGACGGGUAGCCGGCUUAGCGGGUGUCCGGCCACAUUGGGACUGAGACACUG